rnacentral:rRNA from 1 species
UGGGGAAUCUUCCGCAAUGGGCGAAAGCCUGACGCAGCGACGCCGCGUGCGGGAAGAAGGCCCUAGGGUUGUAAACCGCUUUCAGGAGGGACGAAGCCACUCGGGUGAAUAGCCCAGAGGGUGACGGUACCUCCAGAAGAAGCCCCGGCUAACUACGUGCCAGCAGCCGCGGUAAUACGUAGGGGGCAAGCGUUGUCCGGAUUCAUUGGGCGUAAAGAGCGUGUAGGCGGCCAGGUAGGUCGGUUGUGAAAACUGGAGGCUCAACCUUCAGAGGUCGACCGAAACCAUCUGGCUAGAGUCCGGGAGAGGAGAGUGGAAUUCCUGGUGUAGCGGUGAAAUGCGCAGAUAUCAGGAAGAACACCCGUGGCGAAAGCGGCUCUCUGGAACGGUACUGACGCUGAGACGCGAAAGCGUGGGGAGCGAACAGG